GUGUGUGUGAGUGUGUGUGUGUGUGCAUGUGUGUUUGUUUGUGAGAGGAAAGGGUGGGGGUGGAGACAUGUGCUCAUAGAGCGCAAAAGAGAGUGACAAGCAGGGUGGAGAUGAGAAAGAGCGAAACCGUUAACAGAUACCGAGGACCACACCAGUGAAGUGUUAAACCUCCAAAAAGUGUGUGUCUGUGUAUGUGUGUGUGUGUGUGUGUGUGUGUGUGUGUGCAUGUGUGUGUGAGAGUGUGUGUGUGUGCGCGUGUAUUUUUCCAUGAUAGUAAAUUACAAGUAUUGGAAUAUAAACAUACCAGCCACAUUAUUAGUCACAUCUGCAAUAUAUCUAACACACCAUUUCACAAAGGUAUUAACUAUCAAUACAUUUGCAGUGUCGUAUAUACGUUUUCACUGUGUCACGGUGCAAAAAACAACCACACAUUUGUUAAAUUAAUAACCUCUCACAGCUUCAUUUUCAUAAGACCAUCUUUUUAAUGCAGUUCCUACAUUAAAUUGUGCAGCCGUAACUUGAAGAGUGUGUAUAGUGAGUGUAAAAACAACACCACAACUUGCACAAAGUGACCAUAUUUUAAUAUUUAAACAAUUAGGACGUUACCAACUCCAGUUAUUUCAUUUGAUCUAAAUAAUAAAACAUAUAUAAAUAAGGUAACUUUUCAGAUGCAAGUUUAUUUAAACUGUUUAAUGAUAAUUAUGUCAUUGUGCUGCUAUGUUUUUUUUAAACACACCUAAGGUGAAUGUGUGCAAUAUAAUACAUGUAAAAUAAUGAAAUGAUUAUGUAGAUCUGAAGAAGCUAUAAGGUGCAAUCAAUUAUUAUUGGAAUAAAGUAUAUUUUAUUCUUCUCAUCAGUAAAUCAUUAAAUGUAUGGAAGGUGUUAGAAUUAGCAGAUGUGCUCUGGGGGACUGUUGGGGGGUGACAAAGAUGCACUGAAGAGUAGUUUCCUCUCUUUGCAUGUGACACACUUCACUAGUCUGCUAUUCUGACAAUCAUUUUAAUAACGGACUAGCGUCUGUUUCUUCAGCGGGGCAGCACUGCUACUAACUAAGUAUUUCUUCUUCUUUUUUUCAUGCAGGUGUGAUUCCAAGUUUUAAAUAGACGGAAAACUGAAAACACGUUUUGGGAAGUGUUGCUUUUUUGUGAAAUGAUUUCUGUAUGCCUGAGUAAAUUUACAGAAUUAAAACUUCCUUUUAUUGUUACUUAUUUUACCCGCUGCAUGCAAAGAAAAAGUUGAGUGCCAAUAUCCAAGUCAUUGUUUAAAUAUUGACGGAUGAUAUUUUUUUUCUUAUGAUUAUUUCAGUCUAUAGGGACAAAAAGCUAAAAGUGUAAGAUUUUUUUAAAUUUAUUUUUUAUUUCAUUGUUGUAUUUAUAUUCUCCUUGAAAAAAAUGAUGUAUAUUGAAAACAUUUCUUUCUUCCGAUUACACAACAUAAUUGUGAAACAGCCGUCGCGGUGCAGGAAAUUAUCACAUUAUUUAUCGAUGGAUCAUAGAGUCACGCGCUCUGCUGUCAUGCAUACAUCCGCUGCAACAGGUGUUACAACAGAAGAGAAAAAAGGGAUGUAAGUAAUUGUUGUCAAAUUUGGUUAUACAAAUAAAAGAAAGAAAGAAAAAUCAAACAUAUAUUUUUACUCCAAAUUUAGAAAAAUAAAAAAUAAAAAUCCAGAAAAAAAUGUCACAUGGAAAAUGGAAAACUCUCAGAAAUGUGCUGUAAGUAUGUGGAUCCCAAAUGAAGGCCGGAUGGGAAAAAGUAAGGAUUUUCUUAAAAAGUGUUGUGUUGGUAUCACAGCAGAGAAAAGCGCGCCUUGAGGGGAGAUGUGAUGAUGCGCCUGCCGCCAAAGUCUUUUUUUUUUCCAGCAGGUGCAUGCCUCCUAAAAUAAACCUACAGGACAGAACUGCGUCUCAUGUACAGGUCCCAUCCUGCCUUAGAGCUCGGAAAGGUUCUAGCUCAGCUAAAAAGUCAUUGUAAGCCACUUUACCUGCUAUUCCUUGAGUUUGCAGUAUGAAGUUCUUCCAACUGUCCCCGGCUCCAUGUGCAGAAGGUCGCAGCGCCGCGGCCCCAUGGAGCUGCGCCCUCAGUCCCUCCCCUCUCCACUGCACUUCCUCGUUCCAGCCCAACAUGACUACACUGUCCUCCACUGACUCAUUUUGCUUGCUUUUAUCCACAGGCCCAGUGUGUGGCGGGGCGUCUUGGCACUUGCUUUGUGUCGUGCCAAUAAAAGCUGACACCCAGUAGACCAUCACUGGCAGCCAUGCAUGAGAUGGGAUGAGGCGCGCGCAAGAAGAGUGGACCAUUCAUUGGUUAUUUAUUUCAUUCUCACCGAGGAUGCUGAUAAAGGAGGGAGGAAGAGGAGGGGGACCCCUUCACUUGCAUAUUGGACAGCUCCUACGCUGCCACAAAUUAUACUUUCUUACCCACUUAAUGACUUCUCUCUCCCUUUAUUGAUUUUUUUUCGGUGUUGUUCCCUACUGUAAGACACUGGUCUUAAGCACCUUAUGAGGUCAGGGGGCAUGCUUUAACCUUGGGCAACUUCUACUUUAACAGGUGUGCAUGCUCACCCAGACCUGCAGAAGCAUCAUCAUCAUAUAUUACACGCACUGAAAUAGUGAACAUGAUUCAACUCGAAAAGCUUUUGGAGAGCGUAGACCUUUGCCAGGCCCUGGCUCCCAUUUGGAAGUAACCCUUGAAAAAAAAAUUAUUGAAUUCAAA